rnacentral:lncRNA from 1 species
UGGGCUUCUUCCCAUGCUCUCUGACCUCAAGCCAGCUCCCCAAGGUCUGGCCACUCUCAAAUUCCCCAGUGGGGGUGUUUCUUGGUGCCUUUGGUCUCUUUUGCCACUUCCCUGACCACCACUCCAUUCUAGGGAUGCCAGGCCCUGGGUGUUGCCAAUGGAGUCUGGUUUUCAGGGCCUCGCCUUCCCUGCUGGCUUCCUGCUCCCACCUGCUGCGACUCUGACACCAGUCUCUGUCUUCACACCAGGAAAUGUCCCCGGAGAGCCAGUUACUCCCCACUGGGUCCUGGAUGGAGGACUCUGGCUCAAGGUCACUCUGGAGGAGCCGGUCUUGAAGCCCGAUGUGGUGCUGGUGGCUUUAGAGGCUGAAGGCCAGGAUCUCCUGCUUGAAUUGGAGAAGAACCAGUGAGUAUCAGCCUGGGGUUUGGCUGAAGCCCAGGACAGACCCUCUCCAGAGAGGAUCAGUGCUUUUGUGGGGAGGCUGGGUGGGAAGAGGCAUGAGUUACAGAGGGAAUGGCUAAUGUACUUGAGGUUAAAGUGGGCUGAACCCAGCUGUAGGUAUAAACAUGCUUUCCAUCUCAAA